CCCACCACCGCCCCCACCCCCGAGGACAUGACCUUACACUAUCAUCCCCUGCCGCGGCCACUAUCCCUCCAGCCGAUUAUGGAGAAUAGUGACGCACACACGCACUAUAGAGGAAUACGCAAAAAGAGGUAAACUAGAUCGCAACAGAGUAAACCUCACACGGAAUGCUAGGUAAAAUACGUAAAAGGUGUACAAAGUAAACA
rnacentral:lncRNA from 1 species